GGGGAGCAAACAGGAUUAGAUACCCUGGUAGUCCACGCCGUAAACGAUGUCUACUUGGAGGUUGUGCCCUUGAGGCGUGGCUUCCGGAGCUAACGCGUUAAGUAGACCGCCUGGGGAGUACGGCCGCAAGGUUAAAACUCAAAUGAAUUGACGGGGGCCCGCACAAGCGGUGGAGCAUGUGGUUUAAUUCGAUGCAACGCGAAGAACCUUACCUGGUCUUGACAUCCACGGAAGAAUCCAGAGAUGGAUUUGUGCCUUCGGGAACCGUGAGACAGGUGCUGCAUGGCUGUCGUCAGCUCGUGUUGUGAAAUGUUGGGUUAAGUCCCGCAACGAGCGCAACCCUUAUCCUUUGUUGCCAGCGGUCCGGCCGGGAACUCAAAGGAGACUGCCAGUGAUAAACUGGAGGAAGGUGGGGAUGACGUCAAGUCAUCAUGGCCCUUACGACCAGGGCUACACACGUGCUACAAUGGCGCAUACAAAGAGAAGCGACCUCGCGAGAGCAAGCGGACCUCAUAAAGUGCGUCGUAGUCCGGAUUGGAGUCUGCAACUCGACUCCAUGAAGUCGGAAUCGCUAGUAAUCGUGGAUCAGAAUGCCACGGUGAAUACGUUCCCGGGCC
rnacentral:rRNA from 1 species